rnacentral:rRNA from 1 species
AGAGUUUGGUCAUGGCUCAGAUUGAACGUUGGCGGCAGGCCUAAAACAUGCAAGUCGAACGGUAACAGCGGAAGCUUGCUUCCGGCUGACGAGUGGCGGACGGGUGAGUAACACGUAGGAAUCUACCUAGUAGUGGGGGACAACCCGGGGAAACCCGGGCUAAUACCGCAUACGCUCUAUGGAGGAAAGCAGGGGAUCUUCGGACCUUGCGCUAUUGGAGGAGCCUGCGUCGGAUUAGCUAGUUGGUGGGGUAAAGGCCUACCAAGGCGACGAUCCGUAGCUGGUCUGAGAGGACGAUCAGCCACACUGGAACUGAGACACGGUCCAGACUCCUACGGGAGGCAGCAGUUAGGAAUCUUGGGCAAUGGGCGCAAGCCUGACCCAGCCAUGCCGCGUGUGUGAAGAAGGCCUUCGGGUUGUAAAGCACUUUCAGCGGUGAAGAAAAGCUCAGGGCCAAUAUCCUUGAGUCUUGACGUUAACCGCAGAAGAAGCACCGGCUAACUUCGUGCCAGCAGCCGCGGUA